AGCGAACGCUGGCGGCAGGCCUAACACAUGCAAGUCGAACGGACCCUUCGGGGUUAGUGGCGGACGGGUGAGUAACACGUGGGAACGUGCCUUUAGGUUCGGAAUAGCUCCUGGAAACGGGUGGUAAUGCCGAAUGUGCCCUUCGGGGGAAAGAUUUAUCGCCUUUAGAGCGGCCCGCGUCUGAUUAGCUAGUUGGUGAGGUAAUGGCUCACCAAGGCGACGAUCAGUAGCUGGUCUGGGAGGAUGACCGGCCACAUUGGGACUGAGACACGGCCCAAACUCCUACGGGAGGCAGCAGUGGGGAAUCUUGCGCAAUGGGCGAAAGCCUGACGCAGCCAUGCCGCGUGGAUGAUGAAGGUCUUAGGAUUGUAAAAUCCUUUCACCGGUGAAGAUAAUGACUGUAGCCGGAGAAGAAGCCCCGGCUAACUUCGUGCCAGCAGCCGCGGUAAAAC
rnacentral:rRNA from 1 species